rnacentral:rRNA from 1 species
UACGGGGGGGGGCAAGCGUUUGUUCGGAAUUACUGGGCGUAAAGGGUUUGUAGGUGGCUUGUUAAGUCAGACGUGAAAUCCCUCAGCUUAACUGGGGAACUGCGUCUGAUACUGGCGAGCUUGAGUGCAGGAGAGGAACGCGGAAUUCCAGGUGUAGCGGUGAAAUGCGUAGAUAUCUGGAGGAACACCGGUGGCGAAGGCGGCGUUCUGGACUGUAACUGACACUGAGAGACGAAAGCCAGGGUAGCAAACGGGG